rnacentral:rRNA from 1 species
GACGAACGCUGGCGGCGUGCUUAACACAUGCAAGUCGAACGGAAAGGCCCUGCUUUUGUGGGGUGCUCGAGUGGCGAACGGGUGAGUAACACGUGAGUAACCUGCCCUUGACUUUGGGAUAACUUCAGGAAACUGGGGCGAAUACCGGAGAGGAUCUCCUGCUGCAUGGUGGUGAUUGGAAAAUUUCGGCUGUUGGGGAUGGACUCGAGGCUUAUCAGCUUGUUGGUGGGGUAGUGGCUUACCAAGGCUUUGACGGGUAGCCGGCCUGGGAGGGUGACCGGCCACAUUGGGACUGAGAUACGGACCAGACUCCUACGGGAGGCAGCAGUGGGGAAUAUUGCACAGUGGGCGGAAGCCUGAUGCAGCAACGCCGCGAGCGGGAUGACGGCCUUCGGGUUGUAAACCGCUUUCGAAUGUGACGAAGCGUGAGUGACGGUAAUGAGUAAAGAAGCACCGGCUAACUACGUG